rnacentral:siRNA from 1 species
GAUAGUGGACUGCAUACGAACCA